AGGUACUCACACACAUGCACACACACACCUAGACCAGACAGGUACUCACACACGUGCACACACACACCUAGACCAGACAGGUACUCACACACGUGCACACACACACACCUAGACCAGACAGGUACUCACACACGUGCACACGCACACCUAGACCACGACAGGUACUCACACACAUGCAUGCACACACCUAGACCACAAGAGGUACUCACACACGUGCACACACACACCUAGACCAGACAGGUA